GUGAAUCAUCAAAUUUUUGAACGCAAAUUGCGCCUUUUUCGGAAGGCAUGUCUGUUUGAGGGCGCCAUUUAACAACUAAUGUAAAGCGUUUUUUGUUUCGCGCGUUGAUGAGCUUUCCCACGCUUUCAAAUUUUUGGUGGCUCGUAAUGAACAGCGUGAACGUUUUUUUCAGUUCAAGGGUCGUAUCAUCGUUGCUUGGGUUGUGAAAAAACAUAAUCGCGCAAUGCGUGUGGCAAUUUCUUUUUAUCGCUGC
rnacentral:misc_RNA from 1 species